ensembl:snoRNA
GUACUAAAAGCUAAUUUGAGGGAAAGCUUUUAAUAACAUUUAUCAACUUGGGCUAUUGGCAGAGUGAUUAAGACUACAUUCCACAAUGGUCUAUACCACUUAGUAUGGGUCAUUACUAUCUUGUGGCCUAAACU